rnacentral:tRNA from 7 species
AGUCCCUUCGUCUAGUGGUCAAGGAUAGCGAGGUUUUAACCCGUUGGCGGCGGUUCGAAUCCGCCAGGGACUA